CUUAACAUAGUGGAACAAUAAUAUCAGAUGUUAACAUUUAAAAAAUGUGUUAUUUCUCAUAGUUGAAGUUUAUUUUUAAGCCAAAUGACCAAAGUUUGUCCAAUUGCACGUCAUAGUUCAUGAUAAUGUAUCCAUUUUUUUGCCCAAAGAUGCAUCUUGUCAUGACAAACAAUAUUGCCAAAGAGGUUUACAAAUGUUUGGUUAUAAAAAAUGAUUUUUCAUUUUCCAAAUGCAAAACGUAGGGUGUUUUGUGAAGCUACUACAAUUAAUAUGGUUAAAAAAGACCUAUAUCUAAUUUUAACACAAAGUAAACCAUAUUUAAACGUACAUAUAGUUGGGACUACAAUAGAAGCCAUUAAGUUUGGUUGAAAUUGUAAAAGGAACAUGACAAACAUAAAAUAAAAAAACACAAAAUUUUAUACUCAUCAACAACGGGCAUGCUGUCUUGCCCGCCACUAAUGUUGUGCUGAUAGCUGAAGAUUAACACAAAAAAAUCAAUAACUUUUUUCUCAUUUAAAAGAUUAACAAAAAAAGUAACGAGAAAAAAAAUAGUGAAGCUUCACCGGCGGGUCUGCAAUUUUGCCCGCCACUGAAGCUGUGCGAACCGAAGAAACACAAAUCUUCAUGGGCGCAUGUGAUUGGUGGAGAGUCAGUGGGCAUGGAUCGAUGACGUGGAUGCAUCCAUCAAUUCAUCUUUCCAUCUCUCCUCUCCCGAUGCCUUCUUCUCCUACUCUCAUCCCUCUGCUCUCAUCUCUAUCUUCCCGUGCUCUCAUCUCUCUAUCUCCCCUCUGCUCUCUGCUCUCCAAGUCCACAACUCCAUCUCUCUCCCUUUACUCCUCUCAAUCCCUCCUGCCCCACCGCCUGCAGGUCACCCCGCCGCCGGCCCCUGCCACGUGAGCCCCGCCUCCGGCCUCGCGCCACCCUGCCACCGGCCCCAGACGCGCACCCUAUCACCGGCCC
rnacentral:lncRNA from 1 species